AUGGUAGAUUUGUUUGGUCCACCACCUCUUUUGGUUAAUGGAAUUGUUUUAACUUUGGAACAUGUGAUGCAAAGGCUUGAAAUUAUUGAAAAUAAAGUUGCCACUGUAGAGUUAAUUGAAAAUUUGGGUAAAAAGAUCCACAACCAAAUUACCCAAUAUGGAUCUACGGUUGGAGUUACUCUGAUUUUUUUUAAAGAAAAGGAACCUAUAGUUAACGAGAGAAUAGACCAAGAUUCCACAAGAAUCGAUAAACUUGAGGAUAUUAUUACCAACUUAGGGUCCGCCUUUUCUUCCGUGAAAAAUACUCCAAAUCCUCCUACUACCAAAAUUUCCAAAUUAAUGUAUGUUCCUAAAAAUAAGGGUGAAUCUUCUAGUAAGGAAAAUGCAUAUCUCAAAUCAAUUAGUGUUCACCUCAGCUUUUUCGCUAUCAUUAAGGAACCUUUUGCUACAAACGAAUUUCUUGAUUUCUUGCCUAGGAGUUUAAUCAUUAAUAAAAAGAAGGAAAUCCUAAGGGUUAUAAGUGUUCUAUUGAAGAAUUGA
rnacentral:rRNA from 1 species